UGAUUCUACAAGUAAUUCAAGGGAGCAAUGCUACGAGACAGAAAAAGUGUAUCUGUGCAAAAUCAUGGCCUGAAAUUCAGUUUUACAAAAGGAAGCCAAAUAUUAAUGACAAGUAACAAGAUAUGACAAUCUAAAAUACAUGUAAAAAGGCUGUAUGAAGGGAAAACCCCUACAGGCAAUUUAUAUUUCAAGUGGCUACUCAAAUCAUUAAGUGGAGAACAUUAAGCAAAAGGAAAAAUGAGGGAAAACAAACUGGGACAAAAUACCAGAAAAGUAAUACAACACUCACAAAACCUGAAAGAGGAAAUUGGAAAGGGAGAAAUGCAUGUUUAUAUUUUGAAAAGCAGAGACAUGCUUAGGAUGUACAGCAAAUGUGAAGGAGUAGUGUCACAAUAGUAAUCAUAAACAAUUUACUUUUUUAAGUAGGAUGGUGGACAUACAUAGGUGGACAUAAAGAGACUACAGCUAAUCAGAAUAAAUACUGAAAAUCACAAGGGGAAGUGGAUGGGAUAGAGUCAUAGAGUGGGAAAGUACAGGGGGAAAUUGAGAAUGCAAAAUAAUUAAUAUAUGCCCAGUUGCUCUGUGGCUGUACCAACAAUGAAUGGACUUUUAGCGAAAACCAGACUGAUGAGCAAGUAGUACAAAAAGUAAG